rnacentral:rRNA from 1 species
UACAGAGGUCUCAAGCGUUGUUCGGAUUCAUUGGGCGUAAAGGGUGUGUAGGUGGCAGCUCAAGUCUGCUGUCAAAGCCCACGGCUUAACUGUGGAAAGGCAGUGGAAACUGAGUAGCUAGAGUGCGGUAGGGGCAGAGGGAAUUCCCAGUGUAGCGGUGAAAUGCGUAGAGAUUGGGAAGAACACCGGUGGCGAAAGCGCUCUGCUAGACCGUAACUGACACUCACAGGACGAAAGCUAGGGGAGCGAAUGGG